rnacentral:rRNA from 1 species
UACGUAGGGGGCUAGCGUUAUCCGGAAUUACUGGGCGUAAAGGGUGCGUAGGUGGUUUCUUAAGUCAGAGGUGAAAGGCUACGGCUCAACCGUAGUAAGCCUUUGAAACUGGGAAACUUGAGUGCAGGAGAGGAGAGUGGAAUUCCUAGUGUAGCGGUGAAAUGCGUAGAUAUUAGGAGGAACACCAGUUGCGAAGGCGGCUCUCUGGACUGUAACUGACACUGAGGCACGAAAGCGUGGGGAUCAGACAGG